rnacentral:lncRNA from 1 species
UCUCCUGCUUUGUAGGAGUUUGUAGACCUAGGAGAUCACAUCUUCUAGGUCUGUCUGGACUGUUUGUAUGAAGCACGUGUUCUCACAGAAGUGUUAGCUUAACCCGGUCAUGGUCGCAGCUUACCUAGACGUCUCCACAGCCAACCACCCGUCCCUGGUUGACUCAUUGGAUUUAUAAAGCCUCUCACGUCAUUCUCGCAUGUCUUAUGCAAUCAAUAUCCGACAUCAAGCACUGAGAUUUACCAGCCACACCUAAUUCUGGGAAAGGCCAAAUGAGAAAGGCAUGUCUCUCACACAUGACGCCUCUCUUUAUGUUCUGUACCUGGUGUGUUAGUUUCCUGUGCCUGCCCUAACAAAGCACCACAAACCAGGUGUCUGCCUGAGAUAGGAAUCUAGGCCAAAAUAUUUCAGAUACUUGUUGUCAGAGGGCAGUAUGGAUGGGGGAAUAGGAUGAUAUGUUCCAGAACUUGGCCUGAGAAGCAAUGCUGUGAGUCUACAGGGGAGUCACAGAGACUCAUUCAUCAAAUUACUGCUCUGUGCAGAUGUGUCAUUUUAUGGUAAGGGAGUCCUUGAGUCCUAGAUGUCCUCCAGGGACUCUGUGUAGUGGAGGGACAACUUUCUAGGCCACAAGACAACUUUUUUUUUU